CUAGUGGCGGACGGGUGAGUAACACGUGAGAAUUUACCUUUAGGAGGGGGAUAACAAUUGGAAACGAUUGCUAAUACCCCAUAUGCUUUUGAGUGAAAUGGAUUUAUAUUUAUCCGCCUAGAGAGAAGCUCGCGGCUGAUUAGCUUGUUGGUAAGGUAAGAGCUUACCAAGGCGACGAUCAGUAUCUGGUUUGAGAGGACGAUCAGACACACUGGAACUGAGACACGGUCCAG
rnacentral:rRNA from 1 species